AGAAAAAGUGUCCAAUGGACACGACAGCGUUAUUGUUGCUGUGGGCGCGAGUUCUAGUCUCGAUUUUCUUC
rnacentral:tRNA from 1 species